AAAUUCACUUUGAUAAUGCAUUGUAAUACCCUCCAAAAAUUUAGCCAAAGAAAGGAUGAUUGUCUGCUCUCUUUCUGCCAGAAUGGGACUGUUUCAAGGGAAGGCUCCUUACAGUGAAGAAAAGGGUCAAAUCCAAUUAAAAUUGCAAAGGAAACUUCGCGAGGACGAAUGCCAUUAGCCCAAACUGGAAUGUGGCCAAAACACGGGCCUGGCAUAAGGGUUGGAAUUACAAGUCAGACAGGGCUGAGCAGCAAUCUUCAAGAAAAUUGCUCUAAAUUGGCCUUCAUUAGCUCUCACGGCACUGAAAAACAACUCCAAUGCAUGCCUAUGGAAGGCCGAGAACCCUCAGCGUCGAGGAGCCGGGUGUCGAGUGCAAUCAGCUCUGUCUCUAUGCGGAUGUCACAGAUCCAGUGCUCUGCUUGGGACAGAAGGACCCGGGUGUUGAAGGCAAGGUGUGACCGGCUAGCGGCUCUGAGCCACUGUGAUCACCGUUUCCCGUUCGAGACGCAGAGGGGAAGACGCACGCCAACGCGGGCUUGGGCCUCUUCCGGGCCUCCUCCCUUUGGAGAGGCCGGGGUUAGCUCAGCAAUUCCGCUCACUCGCUCCGUGCCCUGGAGAAAGAAAUGUUCUCUUUGCAAGCUGCUUCACCACCUGUAACAGUAGGAGAACGAUACCUUCUCUUUCCACAAAUAUUCAGAGAAGCCUACCAGAUACCAGGCACCAUUCUGGGUCCUGAAACACAGGAGAAGGUAGCAGACAGGCCUGGAUAGGGAUGCGAACUCUCAAGCUAGACACGAGUUUCAAAUUCAGGGUCCAUCACUUGGUUAGCUGUAGGACCACGGAGAAAUCCAGUUCCUGGUACCUCGGCCCCCUCAACUAUUAAAUGGGAGUGGUAAUAUUAUGACCCCCGUAGAAUGGACGAGACCAAUUAUCUAAUGGGCAUAGAUAGCUUGCCAUGGUGGGCUGGCCCUAUGGAAAGCUCAACAAUUAUCGUGGUGUUACCUG